GACGGACGCUGGCGGCGUGCUUAACACAUGCAAGUCGAACGGAAAGGCCUUUUCGGAGGUACUCGAGUGGCGAACGGGUGAGUAACACGUGGGUGAUCUGCCCUGCACUCUGGGAUAAGCCUGGGAAACUGGGUCUAAUACCGGAUAGGACCGCACUUUAGUGUGUGUGGUGGAAAGUUUUUUCGGUGUAGGAUGAGCCCGCGGCCUAUCAGCUUGUUGGUGGGGUAAUGGCCUACCAAGGCGGCGACGGGUAGCCGGACUGAGAGGUUGGUCGGCCACAUUGGGACUGAGAUACGGCCCAGACUCCUACGGGAGGCAGCAGUGGGGAAUAUUGCACAAUGGGCGCAAGCCUGAUGCAGCGACGCCGCGUGGGGGAUGACGGCCUUCGGGUUGUAAACUCCUUUCGCCAGGGACGAAGCGUUUUGUGACGGUACCUGGAGAAGAAGCACCGGCUAACUACGUG
rnacentral:rRNA from 1 species